GUUUAAAAUUGCUUAAGAAACACUGAUUUAUAUUCUUUGUGUUGACUAUUUUUAAUUAUAUUAUAUUAUUUCUUCAGAACUAUGACGAUGAGGGUGACCUACCCGAUUAUCUAUGUUUAGACUCGUUAGGAAACAAUCAACAUGACGGUUACGAAGACGUAAACACCAUACAGGGAAACAAUUGGGGCCAUACGAAUCAAAAUUUUGAGAAUGAGACCAGCUGGGGCAUGCCGAUGGAGGCUUAUCCAAAUUCAAGUGUGCCUCAAAGACAAAUACAUCUAUGGAAUAUGUCCAGAAAUUCCAGUUGCUACCUUGACAACUCAACUCCCAUUUAGCACAAGAGGUCAAGCAGGAAUUAGCCACAAGUCUGAAAUACAUGAAAUGACGAAUAUUUAUAUAGAUAUUUUUGUAUAUGUUUUUAUACCUUUUCCACAAGAACUUUUAUUUCUUUAUUAUUUAUAUACAUAUAUAUAUGUGAAUUUGCUCAACGAAAACAACAAAAGAACUAACACAAAAAACAACCACAAAAAGUAACUGAAAUACUGUAAAAUACGUGCUCUUCACCUUCCAGUUAAUUAAUUACUGGAAAAUAUUAUAACUAAAUUAUCUAAUCGUUUUUUGUGCAAAAUUAACUCUUUACUUUUCCAAAGCAUUUUCAUAUGUUUGUCCUAAAUGUCCAUGCUUGUUUUCAGACUUUAGUUAACUCUUGUUAUGUAAUAUCACAUGACCUUUUGGCUAGGGAAUUGCACGCGCGAUCACGGUAUUGGGAUUUCAACUUCUGAACAAGCUGAGGAGUUAUGUUCGUUAUCAAAACGUCAUCUCACGUUGUUCUGCGUUCACUCCGAUACUCGACGCGUGGUACACCGUGUACCCUGGUCAGGCAACGUUGAUUUGACGAAGGGAGUGAGUUAAUGUACAGCACAAACAUUUGUUUACUUUAGACAAAUAAUUUAAACAAAUAAUACGAGAGACUGUUAAUCCUUAUUUCAUACGUUCUGAGUAGUAUAAAGCUUUCCUUUCAUAAGUUCCAAGUUACUCUGAUGGUUGAAACAGAUUGAGACUGUCUAUCAUAUACGAUGCAUGGACGCCAAGGGAAUAUGUUAUGCGUAUCACAUGUGAUACACAGGACAGAUAAACAAAAGCUUAGCACAUCGAAUCAAAUUUAAACCAUGGUCUGAUGCAAUAUUUCGAUGCUAUAUUUCGAUGCAGCGCUCUUUCAACAUUUUAUUAUUAUUAUUAACUAACUGAAAGGAAGCGAGCUUGCAGAAUCAUUAGCACUCUGGACGAAAUGCUUAAUGGUAUUUCGCCCGUCGCUGAGUUCAAAUUCUGCCAAGGUCGACUUUGCUUUUCAUCCUUUCGAGGUCGAUAAAAUAAGUACCAGUUGAAGAUUCAGGUCGAUAUAAUCGAAAAAUCCCCACCUCCUACCAAGCUGCCGUUGUAGUAAAAAUUAGAAAUAACUAUUAGCUAACUGAAAGGCGGCGAGCUGGCAGAAUCGUUAGCACGCUGGACAAUACACUUAGCGGUAUUUCGCCUGUCUCUGAGUUCAGAUUCCGCCGAGAUCGACAUUUUCCUUUUAUCAAUUUGGGGUCAAUAAAUCAAGUGCCAGUGAAACACUGAGAUCGAUGUAAUCGACUUACCCGCUCCCCUAAAUUUCAGGUGUUGCAUCUUUAGUAGAAAGGAUUAUUAACUAAC